rnacentral:rRNA from 1 species
GAUGAACGCUGGCGGCGUGGAUAAGGCAUGCAAGUCGAACGGAUUUUUUAUAUUCUGAGAUGCGAUUAUAUCAAGUCAAAGGUCGUAAAAAAUUAGUGGCGAACGAGGUAGUAAUACAUAGGAACUUCCCCUCUAGUCGUGAAUAAUCUAUCGAAAGGUAGACUAAUACACGAUGGUCCCUGAGACGCAAGUCGAAGGGUAAAGUUUUAACGCUAGAGGAAAGGCCUGUGCGAUAUCAGCUAGUUGGUAGUGUAAUGGACUACCAAGGCUAUGACGUCUAGGGGAGCUGAGAGGCUGACCCCCACCGAUGGUACUGAGACACGGACCAUACACCUACGGGUGGCUGCAGUCGAGAAUCUUCCACAAUGGACGAAAGUCUGAUGGAGCGACGCCGCGUGAUUGAUGAAGUCCCUCUGGGACGUAAAGAUCUUUUAUGAGGGAAGAAGUUUAUUGACUGUACCUCAUGAAUAAGAGGCUCCUAAUCUCGUGCCAGCAGGAGCGGUAAUACGAGAGCCUCGAGCGUUAUCCGGAAUUAUUGGGCGUAAAGGGUGCGUAGGUUGUUCUGUUAGUCUUUUGUCAAAGCUCCGAGCUUAACUUGGGAUAUGCGAAAGAAACGGCAGAACUUGAAAGUGCGAGAGGUUUGCGGAACUCAUGGUGUAGGGGUGAAAUCCGUUGAUAUCAUGGGGAACACCAAAUGCGAAGGCAGCAAACUGGCGCAUAUUUGACACUGAAGCACGAAAGCGUGGGUAGCGAAUGGGAUUAGAUACCCCAGUAGUCCACGCCCUAAACGAUGAUCUCUCGCUAUUCGGAGUAUCGACCCUCUGAGUGGCUUAGCUAACGCGUUAAGAGAUCCGCCUGGGAAGUACGGCCGCAAGGCUAAAACUCAAAGGAAUAGACGGGGACUUGCACAAGCAGUGGAUUAUGUGGUUUAAUUCGAUGGUAAACGAAGAACCUUACCAGGGUUAGAAAUUCUAGUGCAAUCCUUUAGAAACAUUGGACCUCGCAAGACUCUAGAACAGGUGAUGCAUGGCCGUCGUCAGUUCGUGGUUUGAAUUGUACCCUUAAGUGGGCUAACGAACGCAACCCUCGUUGUGUGUUACAAGUGUCACACGAGACCGCCCCCGCCUAAGUGAAUUUUUUAGAUGUUGUACACCCUAAGGGAUGUCCAACACCUUAAAAAAGUUCCUUUAGGCGGGGGAGGAAGGAGAGGAUGACGCCAGGUCAGCAUGUCCCUUUGAUACCCUGGGCUACACACAUAAUACAAUGGCUACUACAACGCGUCGCGACGAGGCAACUCUGAGCUAAUCGUUUAAAAGUGGCCUCAGUUCGGAUUGAAGGCUGCAACUCGCCUUCAUGAAGCUGGAAUUGCUAGUAAUCGCAGGUCAGCUAAACUGCGGUGAAUACGUUCUCAAGUCU